UACGUAGGGGGCAAGCGUUGUCCGGAAUCAUUGGGCGUAAAGCGCGUGUAGGCGGUUUGGUAAGUCCGCUCUGAAAGUCCGGGGCUCAACCCCGGGAGGCGGGUGGAUACUGUCAGACUAGAGUGCGGAAGAGGCGAGUGGAAUUCCCGGCGUAGCGGUGAAAUGCGCAGAUAUCGGGAGGAACACCAAUGGCGAAGGCAGCUCGCUGGGACGGUUACUGACGCUGAGACGCGAAAGCGUGGGGAGCAAACAGG
rnacentral:rRNA from 1 species